GACAGAGGCCCCAAGCGUUAGGCGGAAUCACUGGGCUUAAAGCGCGUGUAGGCGGAUCGUUAAGUGCCUUGUGAAAUCCUGCGGCUCAACCGCAGAACUGCUGGGCAUACUGGCGAUCUUGGGCCACUCAGGGGUCACUGGAACAAGCGGUGGAGCGGUGAAAUGCGUAGAUAUGCGGAGGAACACCGAUGGCGAAGGCAAUCCCCUGGGCCUGCACUGACGCUCAUGCACGAAAGCGUGGGGAGCAAACAGG
rnacentral:rRNA from 1 species